CUUGUUCCUCAUUCAUAAGUUGACUUGCCAACAAGAGAGUCAGGGAGUGAGAAGCAAAACUCACUUGUCUUUUAAUAGUCCCAUAUGUCCAAUGCGUAAAGCCAGUGGAGAAUGGAGGUUGAUGGUAGACUACCAUGGCCUGGCCUGAAUGAAGUCACACCCAAACUGAGUACUGCUGUGCUGGACAUGCUAGAACUCCAGUAUGAAUUGGAGUCAACAGCAGCCAAGUGGUAUGCCACCACUGACAUUGCUAAUGCCUUCUUCUUCAUUCCUUUGGCCACAGAAUGCAGGCCACAAUUUGCCUUCACCUGGAGGGGUAUUCAGUAUACCUGGAAUUGCUUGCCCCAGGGGUGAAAACACAGCCCAACAAUUUGUCAUGGGUUGAUCCAAGCUGUACUGGAACAGGGUGAUGCUCCUGAGCACUUACAGUAUAUUGAUGACAUUUUGUGGAACAACACAGCAGGGGAAGUUUUUUUUAAGAAAGGUGUUGUAGUAGGCGUCUUGCGGGGGCACGGGAUGUACGGGACAGGCCUCUCCCUAAACAUAGAGAGACAGUGCUAUCGUGCUGACCUUGUUGCAGAGAAAACAGGAGAAGAAGAAGGAUGAUAAAAGAAUGUGGAAACGGCCAAAUAAGGCACAAUGUUAUCUGGUGUGAACCAAUCAGAGUGGGACAUGACAGCACGGUUAUCUAGGUAAAAAUGUAUAUAAGCUGUGUUUAGUAGUGAAUAAACGCCAUUUUGCCUCACUUACUUCUGGGGUCUGCGUGAGCAUCUGGCCCCGACCUGGUAAAGGGUCGGUUUCGCCCAGCAGUAAGCCCUACACGUGGACAGAGGACGAACACCGGACGAGCAAACAGAGACUACACGCAACAAGUGGUGACCCCGACGUGAUCUGUCUGCUGAGGGUGGCUGCCCGGCGUGCCCGUGACGCGGAGAAGAGCCUGUGAGGUGGCGGCAGGUCGCAUGCGUAACAAUGGACCAAGUCAUUAAGACCGAAGCCAACUCCAGAACAACUGAGGGACAGACGAUGGGAUCAAGAACCACUCGUCAAGAGGAGCACUACACCUGCAACGCUGACACUUCCGAUGUUGCUGAUAUUUAUGGUGUCCAUGGCGAUUACAGAGUGUCACAAACAACUACAAUGGACACAAGAACAUAUGCAGAAAAUUAAAGAAGAGCGUGAUCCCUUUGGAAGCUGGCUGGACGGACUGUUUGGGGGAACGGGUUCAUGGUUAAAGCAAUUGCUUAAAGCUCUCGCAGUAGGAUUUGUAAUCUUUGUGUGUAUUCUAAUCUGUCUUCCAUGCUUUGUAGGAUGCUUGCAGAACUGCCUUCAACGAAUGAUGGACAAGACUUUUGACUAUCACAUUGAGUAUCAUAGAUUGCGUGAAAAAUUAUAGAGGGGUUUAGGUUGUUGCGUUCGUGCUGUAACGGGGCAAGGCUUGGCCGAGCACGGAAAAGAAUUCCCUGUUGCUCUGAUGAUUGCUUAAGAACUGUAGUAGAAAAUAGUAGGAAUAGUGUGCUGAAAUAUAUUUAGGAUUAGGCGUUUUGCGCUGCUUCGCGAUGUACGGGUUAGGUGUGUGUGUAAGUAGUAUUUAGCUUAGGAAGGGGGAGAUGUUGUAGUAGGCGUCUUGCGGGGGCACGGGAUGUACGGGACAGGCCUCUCCCUAAACAUAGAGAGACAGUGCUAUCGUGCUGACCUUGUUGCAGAGAAAACAGGAGAAGAAGAAGGAUGAUAAAAGAAUGUGGAAACGGCCAAAUAAGGCACAAUGUUAUCUGGUGUGAACCAAUCAGAGUGGGACAUGACAGCACGGUUAUCUAGGUAAAAAUGUAUAUAAGCUGUGUUUAGAAGUGAAUAAACGCCAUUUUGCCUCACUUACUUCUGGGGUCUGCGUGAGCAUCUGGCCCCGACCUGGUAAAGGGUCGGUUUCGCCCAGCAGUAAGCCCUACACGUGGACAGAGGACGAACACCGGACGAGCGAACGGAGACUACACGCAACAA
ensembl:lncRNA